rnacentral:miRNA from 1 species
GCUGACAGCAGGGCUGGCCGCU